ACGGUUAUGGAGUCCAUCCAACAA
rnacentral:siRNA from 1 species